AAGCGCCCUGUCCUGCCUACGGGGGUGGGAUUCACAGGACACAAAAGGCCCAUCUAAAGGAGGGGACAGGGAACCUCCCAGCAUGGAUGCAGACAUAGAUGAAAACAGAGCAUGCGGCUGUGCCUGGAGGAAAAGAAGCUCAAGGGCAGGAUACGGGCAGAGAAGCUCAGGACAGUUUCUUAGGGAGAGAAUAAAGUCCGAGAAGUGCAGCACCUGCCUUCCGUCACGCAGACAGACAGACAGACAGACAGACAGACAGAGGGACUCCAGACAGUACGGACCGACACCACCAGCACGCGCUCUGCAACGCAAGUGUCUCUGUGUACUGACCCCCGCCGCCCACGCCUGAACACCCCCCAGCCAGAGCGGGCGGUAUGGGUUGGACCUUCGGCCACCAUCCAAUUUCACACGCUCAGGCUUCGGGGUCAAGUACCCACUGGAAGCCGUGGACGGAGGCACAGCCACAGCACCGCUCCGGGGUCCCCCGUUGCCUGGGAUGUCAAGAAAUGUGGGAGAGACGAGAGCUGGGCCAGACAGGCCCCAAGCUCAGCUGUGCGAGGACCCACGUGCAGACAUGGCCUUGUCACCUGCUCCGGUGGGCUGCUGCCAGGCUCAGAAGGCUCGGUCCGGGCCUGCUCUCAGGCUGGCCAAGCACCGACGCAGCUUGGCCGCAGCACCCCCAGAGCCUCCGCCCUCUGGGCAGCUCACCACCCUGCCCUUGUGCCUCAGCCACGUCCCAGGAGAGCCCGGACCAAAGUCUCCCUGCACCUGCCCUGCUCC